rnacentral:rRNA from 1 species
GUCGAGAAUCUUGGGCAAUGCGCGAAAGCGUGACCCAGCAAUGCCGCGUGCAUGAUGAAGGCCCUCGGGUCGUAAAAUGCUGUCUCCCGUGACGAAUAAUGACGGUAGCGGGGAAGGAAGCCACGGCUAACUACGUGCCAGCAGCCGCGGUAAUACGUAGGUGGCGAGCGUUGUUCGGAUUUAUUGGGCGUAAAGGGUCUGUAGGAGGUUUGUUAAAUACGAGGUGAAAUCCGGGGGCUCAACUUCCGAAUUGCCUUGUAGACUGAUGAACUAGAGUACUGGAGAGGUAAGCGGAAUACCAGGUGUAGCGGUGGAAUGCGUAGAUAUCUGGUAGAACACCAAUAGCGAAGGCAGCUUGCUGGACAGAAACUGACUCUGAAAGACGAAAGCAUGGGGAGCAAACAGGAUUAGAAACCCCAGUAGUCC